rnacentral:rRNA from 1 species
CACGCCGUAAACGGUGGGCGCUAGGUGUGGGCCUCAUUCCACGGGGUCUGUGCCGCAGCUAACGCAUUAAGCGCCCCGCCUGGGGAGUACGGCCGCAAGGCUAAAACUCAAAGGAAUUGA